GACGGAGGAUGCAAGUGUUAUCCGGAAUCACUGGGCGUAAAGCGUCUGUAGGUGGUUCGAAAAGUCCACUGUUAAAAAUUGAGGCUUAACUUCAAAGAUGCCGUGGAAACUUUCAAACUAGAGUAUGGUAGGGGUAGAGGGAAUUUCCAGUGGAGCGGUGAAAUGCGUAGAUAUUGGAAAGACCACCGAUGGCGAAGGCACUCUACUGGGCCAUUACUAACACUCAGAGACGAAAGCUAGGGUAGCAAAUGGG
rnacentral:rRNA from 1 species